AUCGCGUCAGUCCUCCAUGAAAUUGGUCCGUUGUCUCCAUCGGAGCUGGACGCCAGUCUCACGUUUGUUUGUCCCCUUCGACUACCAUCGCAUCAUCAAUGCCAACAAAUAAUGAACAAUAUCGAUUGACGGUGAAAUGAACGGUGAAAUGGGUUUUAAUGAGUGAUCUUAUUGUUACUUUUGUGGUGAAUAAAUAAUUCCUCGAUAUCCGAAGUGAACUGUUACACUUGGAGACUUCUGGACCGGUCACGGGUGACUCUCGACGACUAUUUGGGGUCCUGGUGGAGCCGAUCAGCGAGUGCCCUCGCCACGUACAAAAUUACGGAGCCCUCGAACAUGGGGACUCGAGGAACGCGACGCUCAGUGCAGGAAAAACGGAAGAAUGUGAUUAUUUUCAUAGUGAAAAACUAGGGAGCUAAUACAUGCUGUGAUGGCAGCAACCGAUGGUCAAAUUGUUGUUGCAGCGGCGAGAUGGGCUGAGGAAGCGACAUACUUGCGUGAAUUUGUUACCAAGUAUCGUUUACCAGCAGUUAUAAAAAUAACAAAGGGCCAGUAUGGUGGUUUUGGUGUACCAACAUUGCCAGCACCGAGUCUUCAAAGUACAGCACUAUUGGUAUCAGCUGGUAGAAGACGUAAAAUUGUUGCCCAAGCUGUUAAAAUAAAAGAAGGUAGACGAGUCGUUGGAAUCGGACCAAGACUUGCUAUACCAGACUCGUACUCAGGGUACUUUGAAAUACUGAGUGAAGAGGGUAGAGCUGUACGUGGCAUUGAAUCAGUUAAUGAACUGUCAAGAAGAUGUCCAGAUGAGGGUGCACUAGUGAGAGAAACAAUUCGUGGUAUUGCAUGUAAAGUUGAAGACUCUGGUAAUGUCAUUGCCGAGGGUAGUAGAACAUUGACAGCUGGUGAGACUAUUGUUGCUGCUGGUGAAGUUAGCGUAGCAAAUCGUGGUAGAUUUUUACGUUGUGUUGACAGUCGUGGUGACAAUAUUCUACUUAGUAUGGAUCAACGUGGACGUUUCAGUGCACUAGCUAGAGAGGAUAAUAUAAGUGGUGUUCAUACAGCUCGUGCAUUACUUUGUAAACGUUUGCCUCUUACUGUACGAUUAGUUCAUGGACAGCCACCUCGAGGUUUAAAAUCAUCAUCACAAUUUUUACCCGAGCUGAGGUUACUCUCGACAUUUGAGGAGGAGCACGUGUUUGCCCUACCAUUGCAGAGAGAAGGUGUGGCUGUUGCAUUGCCCCUUGCAGCACCACUCAAGCUUGUCAAAGCGAGAAACGAGGAUGCAUUGAGAUCGAUGACAGAAUUCACUAGAUUGGUUGAUAGAGCAUCAAGACUGGUCGCUGAUGUUGCCGAUAGGGCACAUGUACUUGAUGGUAGACUUGGUGAGAGUAAACAAAAUAGACAAACAAGAAGUGCUGGAUUUCUCAGGAGAUCAGCAAGCUCUGACAGUGCUAAUCAUCAUCGUCAUUAUUAUCAUAAUCAUUAUCAUCAUAAUCAUCACAGUAGCCACAGCUACAGAGAUGAAAAUCGUGUGCCACCAUCGUACACCGAGGAUUACGAUGAAAUUGAUCAGAUUUAUGACUACGUCAGAGGCUUUGCACCACUUCCAAAAAGCGUCAGAUCACCCUACGAGAGCCCCGUUAACAGCAAUGCCAAUCAGAUUAAUUCCAGUCCACCACUCACUCCUGUAACCGUGACAAUUGCUCCAUUGCUUGAUGAUCGACCCGAGCCACCGCCAAUCGAGACAAUACCAACGAAAAAAUUACAAGCAGAGAAGAGAACACGUCGGGCUGUUAAGGAAACACCAAUGCCCAAAGUGGAAAAACCUCCAUUGGCAAAGCUAUAUGUUAAGAACAGUGGUACACAACGUGGACGUCCACUCAUAAGGCAAAAGAGUGCAUCACCCCUCAAGGAAACACCGCCGGGCUUCAAAGGUGGUUCACCGCUAUUCAAUAUACGGUACAAGAGUCUCACCAAUCUUCAACAGGCUAUAGAACUCGAUGGUACACUAGAUUCCAGUCAUUCUGGUGGAAGAACCUCCGGCGAUUCUGGGGCAGGGGCUAAGCUUCCCGAAAAAAGAUCGCGAAGGCUGAGCAGACCAAGAUCCUUGACAAAUCUAGUGUGGGACUUGCGCGGUGGUAAUGGAGCAGUAAGACCCGAAACACCACCACCAGUUGCAGCAUCACCCCUAGCACCAACCAAGUGUGGACAACGAUUGGCAGUGACAGUUAUAGCUCCACGACGCGUUGGCACGCUCUACCUCUAACUCGAGAGAGCAGAAAAAUGAACUCAUAGCCAACUCAUAUCGGUGUUACAUAUGCAUACAAGGAUGAUGGAUGGUGUAUACCACGUGGUAAACGUAAUGUGCGUGGCAAAAGAGGCAGUACCAAACGGAAGAUGAUAAUAGUGUACAAGUCUUUCAAUCUCGUGCUCUUCGUCUCUGUGCCUCGUAGGGCGGAAGUACGUAGAGAAAUACUCAAUUACACCCUGAAUCACGCGAGUUGUCUGUCAAUGUGCCAUAUACAAUCGCAAGAAGCUGAAGGGUAAAAAAAAAUUCGACAGACGAAGGGAUGGCGAAGGUAUCAGAGCGGGCGAACGGAUCUCCAAGAAAGCAAAUUAACGAAAAUUCCAUCCACCGUCAGAAGAACAUGACACAGCGAAUGAAAAAUUGAGCGUUAAUAAUAACAAAAGUUUAUAAAAAAAAUGCUCAUCUGUAUUGGGAGCCUCAUGAAAUCCCUGAGGAUGACAUCGAAAAUAUUAAAAAUCACUCAAUUGUGAAUGAGAGAGAAGAUAUCGCUACGGUAAAUAAUCAUAAAUUAGUUCGACUGGCGAAUGCAUUUUGGUUGAGCUGUCAGAAAUGCCAUAAUAAUGACCAAGUUUUAAUUUGUGGUUGUACUUAAGUCAUACCCUCUACACGAUAAGCCUUUUAGCGUUUCUUUAUACAAAACAGCAACGCUGGCAUUCCAUUAUCAGAGAGUGUCUCAUAGUUUUUGUUUCUUAUUCAUUCGUAUUUUCCAGGAUAUUAAAUGAUUACAGAGGUCGAUCGACUAUCGACCCGUCGAUCUCUUUCCCUUUUUCUUCCCCUCCCCAUUACCUCUUUUAUUUUCAAAAAGCAAAUCCCCCAUUACCGUUAUGUUAACUUUUCAACCUUAAGGGAAACAGUGUGAUACGAACAAAAAAUAAAUAACAUAUCCAUUAGGGGAAUGAACAGCAAGGUUUAUGAAGCUUAAUACUAGAGACGUCAGAAAAAUAAGAAGAUAAUUGAGGGGAUAAAGCAAGGCUGACUUAUUGAAUUCAGUGGUCCCAUGAGAAUAAUCCAAUUGGGAGAGAUUUGUUAUUCAUAAUUUUCCAUAAUUAGGGAAUGAUAAAUUGAUGUGGUUUUAUCGUUUCCACGUUUCGCCUUUAUUUCGUUCUACUCUUUCUCCACUGAGUUCUUCAGAAAGUUUGAAAAUUUUUAAAUAAAUUGUAACGGUAGAACUACUUGAGAAACUUCAGACUGUGGGACCACAAUAAAACACUCACGGCCAAUAUGAAUUUCGGUAUCCGGGCCUUAGUCUCAUUUUUGUGAUUAUUAUAGAGAUACAUGAUUAUCAUUUAAAGUAGUUUAGGCUAGGCUUUUUUAAUUGUAUGAAUGCAGCAAAAAAAAACAUGCGAGAUUAAAAAUGAAAGUCAUGUGGACAGUAACGGCCAGUCGGUGGCAUUCCGACAUUUGUUAGCAAUUAAAAAAAACUGAUGAAUAUGCGCAAUGAAAGUCAAGUGGCCUUAUUAAACAAUAUGGAGUAGUGAUUACAUUAACAUCGAGAUCUUGAAUUCAUCUGUUCCACUGCUCCAGAAUGAGUAUAAAGUAGGAGUUAGUACGUGAGAGAGCGAACGCACGUGAGAAAAAGAAAGUUAGAGAUUACGUUUUACGAUAAGUUUCAAGUUUACUGAUUAAUGUAAUUCUUCGGUUUAAGAUAUUCAGUUGCAUUAAGUAAUGAGUUAUGAUUUUUUUUUUCUUACAACUUUUUUUUUUUAACGAAGGCACUCGGUCCCCUUUACGAUCGAACUCUGUGCGAUGUAAUUAUUCCAUGUGAAUGGGUAUUUCGUGCUCCGAUGUUCUUAGGUAGCUCACUAUUGCCACGAUGACAAUGUGUAGUUUUGAUGACGAGUCAUGCCGAUGACUUAUUGGUCUGUUCUUGAUUUAAUGUUUUUUUUUUUCGUGAAAGAAAUCUCUGGGUCACUGCCAUUAUUUUUGGAGUAAACAAAGUGUUUUUUCUUCCUUUGAUUUAUUUCUUUUGUAUUCGACUAGCAGUUUUCGUGGUGAAAACGCUCAAAACGUAAGGGUCGAGGAUCGAUUGUGCCUUCGAAAAUUAUGAUCUUCAAGUGGAUAAUUGAAUAAAAUGAUGAAGAAGCGGUUGCAAAGAGGAAAUAUCCGUUUUUGUGAUUUCACGAGCAAUUGUUCAUUUUUUAUUUUUUUUUUACUCCUGUAUUGCUUACUUAGAGUAGAUUAAUGUAUUGAUUAGAGAAUGUUGCAAUAAAUGACAAUGAUUCCUAUAA